UUUUUGGGCUAGUUUUGAAAAUGUAGCUGCUUAUUUAGACUUCUUCUGUUUUAUUACACGAACACUUGCAGCAUCCGUCAAGCCGGACUAGGGCUCAACAUGCCUCUGACUGAGGGGUGGAAAGUAGAGCGCCCCCUCUUUGUCAGGAACGGGAAUACACCGUCUGCGAGAACCGUAAUGCCGUCUGAAUCAGCAGUCCAGAUUUCUGAUGUUCAUGGUUCCAUUUGAUAGCAGCUCGAACAGAAAAAGCAGUUUGGCCAAAUGCACAUAAGGAAAUGAUACAAUCUAUGAGCUCAUACAGGUGAUAGCAGGCUACUUGAAGUACAUCAACCCUGUCUUCGUGUCCAUAUAACUGGAUGUGCGGACGUGUUCUGCCGGGUGAGAACGAGUCGUGGAUCAAUUUUCUCAGCUACACUGGAGGACCCGCAAAAACAAGUAUGCAUCAUCAGAAAUUACCUGGGCACAGCAGAUGAAGACCACUGACAGAGUGAGGAGGAAGGCAGACGACACAAUUACAUCCACUGAACGCUGAGGACCUCGUCUCUGCAGAUUCAAACAGAUUUUUACCCAGUUCUACCAGUUUCCAAAGAGACUGGUAACCAUAAAGACCUAUCGUUAGACUUGUACCUUAAGGUCCUCUCUGCUACACUGAGCAGGAAGAAGAAGAGCCAUAUAAGGCAAACGCGCACCAGGAAGCUGAGUGUUACCAUGGUGAUUAUCACGGCAUCAUAUUCAGAUCCUCCUCCCAAAGCAACAGAGAGCAUCUCAUUGGCUGAAAGCGUGGUGAGCUGAUCCAGGUCACAGUAUUGAACCAGCCUGCGGAGAAUGACGCUCCCCUGCGGAGGGCGCCGUAGGAUGCUUCAGGAUCCUCCUCACUAGAAGCUUCAUCAGAGGCAGGCUCCUUAAGAAGGAGACACAACCCAAUCCAGAAGCAGUCCUGUGCUGUGGGCUGUGUGAGAAUGUGAGGGUUGGAUGUGAGGGUUCCAGCACACCUCGUCUGGCCGGGUCAACGCGUCACAUCUCUGCUCGUGCAGCUGAAGUCCCUCCUCACUGCUGCGGUUGGUCACCCGACCAUCCAGUGACACGUA